UCACUAAACUUGAGUAACCUGAAUGAAAACACGUCCCUGGUGCAGAAGCAAGAACGGUUUUCAGGAGGAUAAAGAAGCUGUGGAUGGGCCUGCAUCUGCCUGGAGUGUAGAGGAAUUUCACUGACCAGAGUAAUUCAUCCAGAGGCUGAGUUUCCUUCAUGUUGUGUUGCUUCGAUACUACUGCAAGGGAGUCAUCUCAGAGUGGGAUGAUCUUUUGAUGGGUUUAACCACAAUGAAACAGCCAUCACUCGCCGGGACAGCCGGGACUUUGAGGCGUGAAAUGAAGCUCUGCUUUGGGCUCCUGGUGGGGA